AUUGAACACUGGCGGCAUGCCUUACACAUGCAAGUCGAACGGCAGCACGGGAGCAAUCCUGGUGGCGAGUGGCGAACGGGUGAGUAAUACAUCGGAACGUGCCCAGUAGUGGGGGAUAACCCGGCGAAAGCCGGACUAAUACCGCAUACGACCUACGGGUGAAAGCAGGGGAUCGCAAGACCUUGCGCUAUUGGAGCGGCCGAUGUCAGAUUAGCUUGNGGUGGGGUAAAGCCUACCAAGGCAACGAUCUGUAGCUGGUCUGAGAGGACGACCAGCCACACUGGGACUGAGACACGGCCCAGACUCCUACGGGAGGCAGCAGUGGGGAAUUUUGGACAAUGGGCGCAAGCCUGAUCCAGCCAUGCCGCGUGC
rnacentral:rRNA from 1 species